rnacentral:rRNA from 1 species
GACGAACGCUGGCGGCGUGCUUAACACAUGCAAGUCGAACGGAAAGGCCCUGCUUUUUUGGGGUGCUCGAGUUGCGAACUGGUGAGUAACACUUGAGUAACCUGCCCUUGACUUUGGGAUAACUUCAGGAAACUUGGUCUAAUACCGGAUAGGAGCUCCUGCUGCUUGGUGGGGGUUGGAUAGUUUCGCCGGUUGGUGAUGGACUCGCGGCUUAUCAGCUUGUUGGUGGGGUAGUGGCUUACCAAGGCUUUGACGGGUAGCCGGCCUGAGAGGGUGACCGGCCAAGUUGGGACUGGGAUACGGCACAGACUACUACGGGAGGCAGCAGUGGGGAAUAGUGCACAAUGGGAGGAAGCAUGAUGCAGCAAAGCCGCGUGCGGGAUGACGGCAUUCGGGUUGUAAACCGCUGUCGCCUGUGACGAAGCGAGAGUGACGGUAAUGGGUAAAGAAGCACCGGCUAACUACGUG